AGUCAAUGCUUCUAGGUACACCAUGGAGCGAUCACGAUUUAGUGAUCAUCUGGAAGCCAUAAAGUUCAUCUGCAAGGAUUUUUGGACUGAGCUCUUUAAGAAGCAAAUAGACAACUUGAAAACAAACCAUAGAGGUACCUUUGUAUUGCAAGAUAAUAAGUUCCCCUGGCUUGAGCGGAUAUCAAUUUUAAUCUAAGAAGUUUGGGGUUAAUGAAUUUGUGAACCCAAAAGAUCAUAACAAACCUAUACAAGAGAUAAUUUCUGAAAUGACUAAUGGAGGAGUGGAUCGUUCUGUUGAAUGUACUGGCAGCAUCUAGGCUAUGAUCUCAGCAUUUCUAGUUCUGUUCUAAUCCCGCCACUUUCAUUCCCUG